rnacentral:lncRNA from 1 species
UUUUGCCACUUUGGCAAAAUAUUUAAUGUGUAGCUCCCAUGUGCUAGUUUCCUGAUUCUGAAACAUUCGCAGGAGGGCUCGGUGGCGUAGAGCUUGCCUAGCGUGCUCUAAGAGAUCGAACCUAAUCUCUCAGUGCUGUGAAGAUAGUUGGCUGGAGAACAGUUAUUUUCCUGUAGCGGGGCAGUGAGAGCUGGGACUGGUAGCCAGGAGGAACAUGGUUUGCCGCAGACUGGGCUCAGCAGCAGGGAAGUCUGAGCCUGCUGACUUCCUUCUCAAAGCUGCUUGCAGAGUCUCAACAAGACUAGCGUUUUUAAUAGACUCCCUGUUUUCAUAUUUUUAUAUGGGUAUUAGGACCAGAGAGAGUGGAUAAGAUCUUUCUUUAAAAGUUUUAGCGAUUUCUCCCAGGUAAUUUAUGUCUGUUGAUACUUCAUUAGAGUCUGUGUCUACAUGACCUAGUUAGUCAGAAAACACUCUGGUAAAUGUUGGUGAAUCACAGGCUGAAGGGGUGGACUGUUAGCAAGCACUUGACCCAAAGUAGACAUGGAGGUCAUAGAGGAGUUGUCUGAUUCAUUCAUGUGCCUGCCUCCCAUGGAACUUUGGAACUUAGGACGGGAAAGGUGAAAGUGCCUCCUUAAACUGGGAGCGCUGCAUAGAGGUCAGUUAGCUUGGAGUAUUUUACCCAAGAUCGCAGUCCCACCUGUUAAAACACUGAAGUUGAAAUGUGAGCUAAUAAAGCAAGCAAAUGUGAAAACAGAAUUUUAAGGCCCAAGCUUCUUUCAUUAAAAAUUAGUAUUUUGAUGACUAAGGGUGCAACUCAAAGGCAGAGUGCUUAUUGUGUGUGUGGCCCAGGAUUUGAUCCCCAACACUGC